UUGCUAAGGGCGGCCGCCAUGGCGGCGCCCGGGAGCGCGGCUUUCCCCGUCCUCAUCCUUCUCUUCAUCCUCCUCCUCCUACUCCCGCCGCCGCUCCGGGCAGCGGAGCCGAGCGAGGAGCCCGCAGACACUCGCGGUGCCGCCCAGGCGCGGGCCCACUGCGCGCCGGCCCCGGUCACGGACGUUGCCAGGCUGUGUGUGUGUGACCUGCUGGUGGCACAGUGUGAUGUCAACUGCUGCUGUGACCCCGACUGCAGCCCGGAGGAGUUCAGCCUCUUCACUGCCUGUUCAGUCCCUGUGGUCAUAGGUGACAGCCACCUGUGCAGGCAGAAAGCUGCUGUAUAUUCUCUUGAUGUUGAAGCAAACCCACCAGAAAGGAUAUUUCAAUUAAUUGACCAAGUCAACCCCAGUAUUUUCUGCAUUCAUGCUACAAACUAUAAACAAGCACUUUACCUCAGGUCCCCUGAAAUGCCAACUCCAGAAAAUUUUGAUGAUUUGCUUAAUGAGUUUGGGAGUGCUGCUUUCAGUGCUGAGCCUGAGAGCUGGAAUAUGGACACAGAUGCUCCAGACCCUCCUGAUGCAAAUGAAACUCAGAGAUAUGAGUAUGGAGUUCCUAUACAGACAGAGGAUGCAUUUCUGAGACUGCCAAGUCCUGUCGUCUCCUCCUGGUGCUCUGAUGCCAAUCCUGCAGGGUUUUUAGUAAACCAGGCCACAAAAUGCAUCAGAUCAGUAAGUGUGGAGAAAUGUGAAAGCAUUCAAGCACUUAAUAUGCUGUUCUACAUCAACUCCAGCAUUUUGGCAGUGCCCAAAUCAAGUCAGAUGGUUAAUAUUUCUGUCCAGUCCAUAGUUGUCCAGUCCCUGGAUGGAAUGAGGACUUUACUGAAGGGUGCUGAUGUCCUGAGGCUCCCCAUGAUCUUGGAUGAACUGUGCUUAAAUAUAGUCCUUGGGGUGAGUUAUCACAUUACCUACACAGACACAGGAGAAAUAAUAGAAGCAGCUGCUGCUUUUGUCUUGGGGGCAAUUACCAAAGAAGCACUUUCAAUCCAGCAGAGCUUCCAAAUCAGCUUCACUCAGGUAGACACAAAGCCAGUUCCUCUCAGUGGCAACCCUGGUUACGUUGUCGGGCUGCCUGUGAGAGCAGGAUUCUGGCCUCAAGGAUCUGGCAUCACUCAGAGCACCAACAAACACAGCCAGCUCUCCAUCCUGCAGAGCACAUCCACCCAGGACUGCCUGGCAGCACAGGGAGCCAGAGCCCCCGUGUUAUUUGGUUAUAACAUGAUCUCAGGCUGUAAGUUACGAAUUACAGCAGCUAUGAAAUGCCAGCCUUUGGCUCAGACCCUCCUGGAUGUACUGAAGGGCCAAAACUUUCCUGAGUAUGUGGCCUCAUUUGGGAAUUCCCAAGCCCAGGAUGUGCUUGACUGGGUGCCAAUAACUCACCUCCACAUCUCAGAACAGAGCUCGUGCCAAAUUCCAGUGUCCUUUGGAAUAGAAGUGAAGUGGACUAAAUAUGGAUCUCUGGUCAAUCCCCAAGCCAGGAUAGUGAAUGUUACAGCAACACUCACCACCACCACACUGAAGCAGCUUCCCUCAGGAAGGGAAAGGACUAUUCCUGUAACAAGUUCUGUUGUUUUCACUGACAUUUCCUCACCUGCAGAGCCAGGCUAUAAAGCUUGGCCCACCAUUAACAUCAAGUUACCCUUUGAUUUUUUCUAUCCAUUUGUCUAAGCUCCCCAGGUUCCCACAGAUCUUCCCACUGCUGCAGGAAAGCAGGACAACCUGGCUAAAGGAAGUAGGACAGAGAGAAACAUCACUUGUUGGAGGAGGAGCAGCUCAGGGAACUUGGGUAGGGCACCCCACACUUUCCAGUGAGGAAACCAUUCCAACAGUGCCAGCCUUGCACAAGGAUCCCAGGCAGCAAGAAAGAUCCAGGGUGAGACAAGGACAUUUCCUGCAGCAUCCCUGGAGGGGAUGGAGGAGUAGCAGCAGAGUAUUAAAUCCUAUUCUGCUGUAGGAGCAGAUGCAGGAAGACAGGGGCUCCCCUGUUAAAACAUUGCCAGAAGGAUCCUACAGUGGAAACUUAGGAUGUGAGCCAUCCUUCUCCAGGAUGGACAGCCGGGGUGUGUGGCAGGCAGUGGUGCUGGGAAACUGGUCCAGGAGGUGUGAAGAGGAAUAGGUUAUGAAGUUUUUUAGGGGGAAUGUCUAUCCCUGCUCCAAAGAAAUUGCAGCCUGACUCUGGCCACACUCCAGCAAGGAAAACCACAGGGGUGGAACUCCGAGUUCACUGGGAGAGCAGGACCAGGGGUCUCACAGAUGGGUGUGAGGAGAGAACAAAGACACGAGCCCAGGUAAUUCAGGGGAGGUGACAAAUCCAGCCCCUGGCCCAGGACACCCCCUCACCCACCGUUGAUGAUCCGGGCCACCCUCCAGAGCCGCAGCAGGAUCAGGAGCCCCACGGCCUCGAACUCGUGCUCCUGGAAGAUGAGGACGACGUCGAGCACGAAGGACACGACCACGACCACCCCGUCCAGCACCUCAAACUUGUGGUGGAAGAACUCGCGGCGAUACACGAACACCUUGAACCCCACCUCGACCAGGAAGAUGGUUAAAAUGGACAGGGAGAGGUAGUGGAAAACCUGGGAAAAGGCAGCACAAGUUGAAGGUAGGAAGCGGGAAACCCCCCUGUGUGCACAUGAGCAGGGCAGGAUGGAAAACCUCCACUGCUUGAGGGCACAUCUGGUUGGGCUCUACAGGGAGAAGGGCUGGGGACUUUUCUUCUGCUCUAAGGGACAAGAGUAUGUGGCAGCCUGUGGUGCUGGGGAACUGGUCCAGGAGCUGUGAAGAGGAGCAGGAGGAGGGUGGUGGGAGUGGUCCAGCUCUGCUGCAGCCCAAGGGAACCUGAAGCUGCUGCAGGGACUGGCAUGAGCCGAGCCAGGUCAGCCCCACACACCCCUGUGAGCCCCUCCUUUGUGUGCUGGGACCAUCAGGACAGCAGGGCUGGAGCUCCAGGUCCUGCCUUGCCCAGCCAGCCUAUCCAGGGGAGGCUCUGAGCCACCAAAGGGAGGGAAAUCACUGUUCAUGGUGACAUUUCCCCACACUUUACCUUUGGGGUUAUGUUAUAUUUGUCCGGAUGGAUGAUUUUCAAGUCCAUGAGCAAUUCCCCAAGAACCAACAAGGCAUCCAGGAUCACCAGCCAGACAACCCCGAUCUGUCAGAGGAGAAGAAGCAACAUGAAUCCCCUCCCAGCACAGACCACAAGAGGAGCCAUUGUGGCCCUUACAGCUGAACACACCCCAACAUCCACAGCCCUGAUUCAGCUGGUUGUGUUUCAUGGAGCUUUCCACUGCUCCCACUCCCCCUGGAUGGUGGGUUAUUCCUGCAAAGUCCCACCCCCAUGAAACCACCUGGCUCCCCAUAAACCCAACCACCUCCCAGCCCGUAAUGUGGGGAGCUCGAGACAGGGGGAGCACGUGCCAGUGCCGCAGUGACCCAGAGGCACCGGGGCCUGUCCCCGCUCAGGAAACACCUGCACCCACGGGAGCAGCUCAGCUCAGCUCCCACAGCACAGCUCAGCCGGGGGCUCACGAGCUCAGCCCUGAGCUCCAUCCCACACCCGCCCUUGGCCUGGGCUUGUUCUGCCUCACCUGAAACCUGUGGGAGCUGAAGAGCUUUUUCAUCAUGUCCUGGAAGGAGAUCUGUCUCCUGGCAGGCUCCACCUUGAUCUCCGAGUCCUGCUGCUUGUCCCCAUUGUCCUCCUCCUCCUCCCAUUUCUGGUAGUCGUUGCUCCACUGCACAGGGUCAUCGCCCACAACCGUGAAGUGCUUCAGGUACCUGGACAUGGCUCUGGGUCAAGCUGGCAUCACCCUGCCAACUGAGGGACAAGAGCAGAGCGUCAACUCCCCACUCAGGGCAGACCAAAGAUGCCAAAUCUCCCGGUUUCACCCCAGGGAGGGGACAGGACCGUGACCGGCUGACGGGAAGUUGCUAAACGCUGGGACCGCAGGUUUUGCAUCACCUCCCCCUCCCCCGGCACCACGAGGAGCCCCCGCCACCCUCCCCAGCCCUGUUUGUGCCCCAUCUGCUGCUCCACAACGAGGAACUUCCUCACGAGUUUUUUCCAAACUUCUCCAAACAAAGUAUCGAUUACAGGAGCAAAAAAGCACCAGCCCUUAGCUGGCACCUUGUGAUGCAGGUGGAGGCAGCUGCCCUUGUGUUUCUGUUGGACACUGAUCCAUGGAGGCUGUUGAUCAGAAGCCAAGGGGAAAAACAGCCAUGGUUUCCCUUCUUUAACAUCAGGGACCCCUGUUAUUUCAGCCUUUGCAGGUAAAUGAAACAGGUGAUCCCCACGUUUCAGCCUGGCCGGUGGGUGACACCGACCUCCCCAUCUCCUCUCCCUGCAUCCUCCAGAGCCGACCUCACCCUUGGGCAUCCCAGUUUCAGCCCAUUCCUGUGGACACCCUGUGAGGGGCAAGACCACCAAACCCAACUCCUAAUCAUUAAGGCCACACUCCAGCAAUGAAAACCACACGGAUGAAACACCGAGUUCGCUGGGAGUGCAAGACCCGGGGGUCUCACAGAUGGGCUGAAGGGCUGCAGGAGAGGCUCCUGUGUUCCCAUCGCAGCUCCCCCAGCCCUCCUUCCUCUUUGGGCAACCCGGCGAGACUGUGUGGCCCACAAACCCUCCGAGACGCGCUCCCGCCCCAGCACAACCCUCAUCCCCACCCCGCUCCCGUCCUUUCCCGGAGCCUCCUGGGGGGCUCAGCACAACCUCCCCCGGCCCAGCCCGUGCUCCGGGGCUGCUCGCCCUGCCCUCGGCUCCCGCUGGGCUCCGCUCCCAGCGGCGGUGGUGCCGGAGGGCGGGUGGGCUGCGGCCACCCCGUCACCUGCCGUGAGGACGGGAGAUGGUCCCUCGGUGCCGCCACAGGGGCAG